rnacentral:rRNA from 1 species
UACGAAGGGUGCAAACGUUGCUCGGAAUCAUUGGGCGUAAAGCGCACGUAGGCGGCCUUGCAAGUCGGAUGUGAAAUCCCACGGCUCAACCGUGGACGUGCAUCCGAAACUGCUCGGCUCGAGUAUGGAAGAGGGUUGCGGAAUUCCCGGUGUAGAGGUGAAAUUCGUAGAUAUCGGGAGGAACACCAGUGGCGAAGGCGGCAACCUGGGCCAAUAUUGACGCUGAGGUGCGAAAGCUAGGGUAGCAAACGGG